UGCUGGCUAGUCCUGGCUCUCUACUGUCUA
rnacentral:piRNA from 1 species